UCGCGAAGGCAGGUGUCCGGGGUGCAACUGACGCUGAGGCUCGAAAGUGUGGGUAUCAAACAGGAUUAGAUACCCUGGUAGUCCACACAGUAAACGAUGUAUACUCGCGGUUUGCGAUAGAUAGUAAGCCGCCAAGGGAAACCAUUAAGUAUACCACCUGGGGAGUACGCCGGCAACGGUGAAACUCAAAGGAAUUGACGGGGGCCCGCACAAGCGGAGGAACAUGUGGUUUAAUUCGAUGAUACGCGAGGAACCUUACCCGGGCUUGAACUAGCUCCGACAGCUCAAGAGAUUGAGUAUUCUUCGGACGGAGUUAGAGGUGCUGCAUGGUUGUCGUCAGCUCGUGCCGUGAGGUGUCGGCUUAAGUGCCAUAACGAGCGCAACCCUUCUCCUCGGUUGCCAUCAGGUGAUGCUGGGCACUCCGUGGACACUGCCAUCGUAAGAUGUGAGGAAGGUGGGGAUGACGUCAAAUCAGCACGGCCCUUACGUCCGGGGCUACACACGUGUUACAAUGGGCGGUACAGAGGGUCGCUACCCAGUGAUGGGAUGCAAAUCUUAAAAACCGUUCUCAGUUCGGAUUGGAGUCUGCAACCCGACUCCAUGAAGCUGGAUUCGCUAGUAAUCGCGCAUCAGCCAUGGCGCGGUGAAUACGUUCCCGGGCCUUGUACACACCGCCCGUCAAGCCAUGAAAGCCGGGGGUGCCUGAAAGCUGUGACCGCGAGGGACGGCCUAGGGUAAAACUGGUGAUUGGGGCUAAGUCGUAACAAGGUAGCCG
rnacentral:rRNA from 1 species